rnacentral:rRNA from 1 species
AUGAACGCUGGCGGCGUGCCUAAUACAUGCAAGUCGAGCGAACGGACGAGAAGCUUGCUUCUCUGAUGUUAGCGGCGGACGGGUGAGUAACACGGGGAUAACCUACCUAUAAGACUGGGAUAACCUCGGGAAACCGGAGCUAAUCCCGGAUAAUAUUCUGAACCGCAUGGUUCAAAAGUGAAAGACGGUCUUGCUGUCACUUAUAGAUGGAUCCGCGCUGCGUUAGCUAGUUGGUAAGGUAACGGCUUACCCAGGCAACGAUGCAUAGCCGACCUGAGAGGGUGAUCGGCCACACGGGAACUGAGACACGGUCCAGACUCCUACGGGAGGCAGCAGUAGGGAAUCUUCCGCAAUGGGCGAAAACCUGACGGAGCAACGCCGCGUGAGUGAUGAAGGUCUUCGGAUCGUAAAACUCUGUUAUUAGGGAAGAACAUAUGUGUAAGUAACUGUGCACAUCUUGACGGUACCUAGUCAAAAAGCCACGGCUAACUACGUG